GAAGAACUGGAUGAGCUCUGUUCAACUUUGGAGUACUAACGAUAUUAACUCUGAUUCUAAGCAGCAUGACUCAAAAUCAGAAACUAAACAGAGAAGUGAAGAAGAAGAUGAUCGCUCGACUUGUGAGAACCCAAUUCAGUUGUGUAAUUACAGAAGCAAAGGAGAGGCAAUUAUGCCGUUUAAGUCACUUUCUGUGUUUGAAGGGACAGGAAGGAAGGAGGAGAAGGAGGUUGUCUCGCAAGGUACCGGACUCUCUAUUCUGACUCCAGUAUCUGAAUUGGGUUCCGGUAAUUUGAUGUCAAAAAGCAACGGCAAUAUUCAAAUGAAGAUACAGAAUAAACCCCAACCGCAGCAGCAGCCUUCUUACAAGAAACAGAGGCGGUGCUGGUCGCCGGAGCUUCACCGGCGCUUUGUUGAUGCCCUUCAACAACUUGGUGGAUCUCAAGUGGCCACUCCCAAACAGAUAAGAGAGCUUAUGCAAGUGGAUGGCCUCACCAAUGACGAAGUUAAGAGUCACUUGCAAAAAUACAGGCUUCAA
rnacentral:misc_RNA from 1 species